CGAAAGCCUGACGGAGCAAGACCGCGUGGGGGAAGAAGGCUCUUGGGUUGUAAACCCCUUUUCUCUGGGAAGAAAGUUGUGAAAGCAACCUGACGGUACCAGAGGAAUCAGCAUCGGCUAACUCCGUGCCAGCAGCCGCGGUAAGACGGAGGAUGCAAGCGUUAUCCGGAAUGAUUGGGCGUAAAGCGUCCGCAGGUGGCAGUUCAAGUCUGCUGUCAAAGACCGGGGCUUAACUUCGGAAAGGCAAUGGAAACUGAACAGCUAGAGUAUGGUAGGGGCAGAGGGAAUUCCUGGUGUAGCGGUGAAAUGCGUAGAGAUCAGGAAGAACAUCGGUGGCGAAGGCGCUCUGCUGGACCAUAACUGACACUCAGGGACGAAAGCUAGGGGAGCG
rnacentral:rRNA from 1 species